ACUACGGGAGGCAGCAGUGAGGAAUAUUGGUCAAUGGGCGCGAGCCUGAACCAGCCAAGUAGCGUGAAGGAUGACUGCCCUACGGGUUGUAAACUUCUUUUAUAAAGGAAUAAAGUGAGGCACGUGUGCCUUUUUGUAUGUACUUUAUGAAUAAGGAUCGGCUAACUCCGUGCCAGCAGCCGCGGUAAACCGGAGGAUCGGAGAGUUAUCUGGAUUUAUUGGGUUUAAAGGGAGAGUAGAUGGGUUGUUAAGUCAGUUGUGAAAGUUUGCGGCUCAACCGUAAAAUUGCAAUUGAUACUGGCAGUCUUGAGUACAGUUGAGGUAGGCGGAAUUCGUGGUGUAGCGGUGAAAUGCUUAGAUAUCACGAAGAACCCCGAUUGCGAAGGCAGCUUACUAAACUGUGACUGACAUUGAUGCUCGAAAGUGUGGGUAUCAAACAGGAUUAGAUACCCCUGUAGUC
rnacentral:rRNA from 1 species